rnacentral:misc_RNA from 1 species
AUGCCGAAUAGACCCACGCCCAGCCGAUGAUCGUGAGGAUCGAAAGAAUCGCCAGCACGUUCCAGCCGAGAUAGGCCCAGACCGUUCCAGAGAAACUCAGUCCAAGCGGCUGUCCGUCGGAAGCGAGAUUUGCAACCAGCCACUUAAUUAAAAGCCAGUACAGCACCAAUUGGACGACGAUCAUCAGAUUGCUGAGCAAUUCGCUCCCGAUCAGGGAAAUUGCAAUCGCAAGCACGAGGGCGCCGAAAUACCAUGGAACGA